rnacentral:lncRNA from 1 species
CUGUGAGACAGAUCUCUACCUGUUUUUCAGAGACAGUGGGAGGAAGAGAGAAGGAACAAGGGAUUCCUCAGAGCUUCUGCUGUACCCCCAACUCCCCUAGAAGCUAUCCCUACUUUAGCUGAGCAUCCAUUGGAAUGGCCCAAGUGCUAGCCUGGUGAUGGGCCUGGCCGAGGAGGACGUGUGAUUUGGGGUCAUUAAGAACCUCUCAUAGAUCCUGGAAAUGCAGUGUGUUUUUAAGUGGAUUGCUUUACCAGUGAGCAUUAAAAGUGUUUGAGGAUGCUACACAUACCUGAUGAAUGAUCGUGCCCCUGCCGUGAAGAAGCAAGGCAGAAACUUCCACUCAACUGGGUCUGGUGCUCAGAGGCAGGCAGGACGGCCGUGCGCACCCAAAGCAGCCUCUUGGUGGGAAUCCCACCAGCACCUUAGUGUGUGUGUCACUCACUUGGUGUGUGUGUCACUCACUUUGAGGCCUCUAGGGUUCUCCAGAAAGAAACCUCUGAGGAUGGGAGACUGGCUGGAGCAGCCAAGUAUCAAGGAGACCCGCCAGGUGCAGAGAGUAAAGGAAGUUGUUAGUCAAGGUUCCAACAGAAAUUCGCCCUACAUGGUUAAAAUAAAGAGAUUUAUAAAAAUUGAGUUUAUUAAGACAAAAUCUGUACAAAAUGAAAUUCGUUCUUUUAAGGUGUCCCAUUCAAGGAGUUUUGCCAAAUAUUUCCAGUAGUGUGGCCACUAUCACAAACAAGAUCUAGAACAUUUACAUCACCCCCAAAAAAGCUCUAGUAGACACACCAAAGUUUUCUCCAAAAUGUUCACACCAUGCUACACUGCCUCUAGCAGUGCAGGGGAGUUUUGGUUGCUCCACGUUCUCACCAACACUUGGAAUGGCCACCAUGUUUAUUUUAGUCAUUCUAGUGAGUGUGCGACCAUCUUUCAUAGGUUUUCACUUGUAUUUUCCUGAUGGCCAACAAAGUUUAACUCUUUUGCAUGACACACAUGCAGGAAGAUAUUCUGAUGUGUUCUUUUGGGAGGUAUCUAUUCAAGUCUUCAGUUCCUUGUAUGUUGGGUUGUCUUUUCCUCAUUGAUGUGUAGGAGUUACAUAAAUAUUCUGAAUCUGAGUCUUUUGUCAGAUGUAUAUAUUGCCAAUAGAUAGUGCUGAUAUCCCACUCUGUGUGUUGCCUUUUGAAGAAUAUUCCUGAAGGCACCCCUUCAGGUGGGAUGUUAAGGGACCCAGGGACUAGUAUUAGCAGGGAGCCACUCC